rnacentral:rRNA from 1 species
GUAACGCGUGGAUAACCUACCAUAUACAGGGGGACAACAGUUGGAAACGACUGCUAAUACCGCAUAAGCGCACAGUGCCGCAUGGCACGGUGUGAAAAACUCCGGUGGUAUAUGAUGGAUCCGCGUCUGAUUAGCUAGUUGGUGAGGUAACGGCCCACCAAGGCAACGAUCAGUAGCCGACCUGAGAGGGUGACCGGCCACAUUGGGACUGAGACACGGCCCAAACUCCUACGGGAGGCAGCAGUGGGGAAUAUUGCACAAUGGGCGAAAGCCUGAUGCAGCGACGCCGCGUGAGCGAAGAAGUAUUUCGGUAUGUAAAGCUCUAUCAGCAGGGAAGAAAAUGACGGUACCUGACUAAGAAGCCCCGGCUAACUACGUGCCAGCCGCCGC